AUUAAUCUUCCUUGUCAGUAAGGACGGAGAGCAGAAGCAGCCGGGCUGCACAUUAUGACACUCAGGCCUCCAGAAUCGUCGCUCUGCUACCACAUGAAGUGCUGCAGCAGCUAAAACCAUGCACCCAUAGCAGAGGCUACAAGGGAGUGAGGGAGCAACUGUAACAAUAUCCUGGCAGAAUAGACAAGGAACCUAUGAGAUCCUGAAAUGGAUAUAAUGUGGGAUGAAGAAGGCGAGAUGGAACACUGUAUUCCUGACUG